rnacentral:rRNA from 1 species
CGCGAUUCGCCCUUGGGUGCCCAGGCGCGAAAACUUUACAAUGCGGGCAACCGUGAUAAGGAAACCCCGAGUGCCAGCACAGGCUGGCUGUCCACCAGUGUAAAAAACUGGUGAAGAAAGGGCCGGGCAAGACCGGUGCCAGCCGCCGCGGUAAUACCGGCGGCUCGAGUGGUGGCCGCUUUUACUGGGCUUAAAGGGUCCGUAGCUGGAUUCACAAGUCCCUUGAGAAAUCUAUCGGCUUAACUGAUAGGCGUUCAGGGGAUACUGUGGUUCUAGGGACCGGGAGAGGUGAGAGGUACUGCCGGGGUAGGAGUGAAAUCCUGUAAUCCCGGUGGGACGACCUAUAGCGAAGGCAUCUCACCAGAACGGCUCCAACAGUGAGGGACGAAAGCUGGGGGAGCAAACCGGAUUAGAUACCCGGGUAGUCCCAGCUGUAAACGAUGCGCGUUAGGUGUGUCAGUGACCACGUGUCACUGAUGUGCCGAAGGGAAACCGUGAAACGCGCCGCCUGGGGAGUACGGUCGCAAGGCUGAAACUUAAAGGAAUUGGCGGGGGAGCAC